AACGCACAUUGCGCCCGCCAGUAUUCUGGCGGGCAUGCCUGUUCGAGCGUCAUUUCAACCAUCAAGCCCCAGGGCUUGCGAUGGGGCCGUGCGGCUGCCGCACGCCCCGAAAUUCAGUGGCGGGCUCGCCUUCACCCCGAGCGCAGUAACGCAUCUCGCUCCGGCCGUGUCGCGGGCUCCUGCCGUAAAACACCCCAAUUUCAAAGGUUGACCUCGGAUCAGGUAGGAAUACCCGCUGAACUUAA
rnacentral:misc_RNA from 1 species